UAUCAGCAGGGUAAACACACAACCCACAGUAUAGGAAACAGUAGUCACAAACUAGGCAUCUGACAAAGGACUAAUGUCCAGACUCCAAAGGAACUGAAAGAAAUCAGCAAGAAGAAAAGGUGCCAUUUACCACCUUCCUGACUCAUUGGCCAGAACCAAUGUUAGUGGAAUUAACAUAUGCCCCACCCCAAGUGACUUCUAAAGGGCUAACUCACCACAAGGGAGUCAGAGCAGAUCUUGGACUGAGACCUACAGGACACAGGUACUGCUUUUUCUCUUUUAUUUGUUUUAAAUUUUAUUUAUGUUUUUAGAUCAAAUAGUUCAGAUUGCAUUGGUUUUUAAUCUGCUGUUGUUGGAUUAACAUAUGCUUUAAGCGACUCUUAAAUAGGUGGCUCACCAGGAGAAAGGCAUAGCAGAACCUGGACUGAGACCUACGGGAGACAGCAGGCAGACACACAGGAGGUUGGACGUCGAGAGGAGCACAUCAGUGCAAGAACACAUGGGUGGCUGCCACUUCUCUCCCUUUCCUGAGAGGGAAAAACUCUCGACGCUGAGAGGAAUCCACCAACAGGCACCAGCACUCUGGCAGGCCACCGACCAAUGGAUUGACAUAGAGUUUGGCUGGGGCAGCCAGAGGAGAGCCUGGGCCGCUGAAUAACCCGACUUCAGGGGAAAACUAUUCUCCCUUUUGGCUCCCCCAUCUGCUGAGAGCUACUUCCACUCAAUAAAACCUUGCACUCAUUCUCCAA
rnacentral:lncRNA from 10 species